rnacentral:rRNA from 1 species
UUAAAACUAGCUAACCAAUUACUUAACAUUAACCCUAUAAUUAAUUCACACUCUUCCAAAAAUUAAAACAUUUUAUAACUUUUAGUAUGGGUGACAGAACAAAGACUCAAGCGCAAUAGAUUUAAGUACCGCAAGGGAAAGCUGAAAAAGAAAUGAAACAAUAACUAAAGUACAGAAAAGCAGAGAUUAAACCUCGUACCUUUUGCAUCAUGAUUUAGCUAGACUAACCAGACAAAGAGACCUUAAGCCUAUCAUCCCGAAACUAGACGAGCUACUCCAGAGCAGCACGAAAGAGCGAACCCAUCUCUGUGGCAAAAGAGUGGAAUGACUCCCGAGUAGCGGUGACAAACCUAUCGAGCCUAGUGAUAGCUGGUUACCCAAAAAAAGAACUUAAAUUCUGCAUUAAUUUUUUAAUGUCAACUAAAAAUUUUCCCAAAGACUAAACAUAAAAAUUAAUAGUUAUUCAAAAAAGGUACAACUUUUCUGAACCAAGAUACAACUUUCCAAGGUGGAUAAUGAUCAUACUUAUCAAGGAUCCUUCCCCCAGUGGGCCUAAAAGCAGCCAUCUGUAAAGCAAGCGUCAUAGCUCCAGCCCUAUAAUAAACCUAUAAUCUAGAUAUCAAUUCCAAAUCCCCUUAAUCAAUAUUGGGUUAUUUUAUAAAAUUAUAAAAGAACUAAUGCUAAAAUGAGUAAUAAGAGGCUAAACCUCUCCCAACACCAGUGUACAUCAGAAAGAAUUAAAUCACUGAUAAUUAAACGACCUCAAACUGAGAAAAUUAUAGAAAUUUAUUAUCAAACUAGAAAACCCUAUUUAAUUACUCGUUAAUCCCUACACAGGAGUGUUAUAUGGCAAAA